rnacentral:rRNA from 1 species
AUUGAACGCUGGCGGCAGGCCUAACACAUGCAAGUCGAACGGUAACAGGAAGCAGCUUGCUUCUUCGCUGACGAGUGGCGGACGGGUGAGUAAUGUCUGGGAAACUGCCUGAUGGAGGGGGAUAACUACUGGAAACGGUAGCUAAUACCGCAUAACGUCGCAAGACCAAAGAGGGGGACCUUCGGGCCUCUUGCCAUCGGAUGUGCCCAGAUGGGAUUAGCUAGUAGGUGGGGUAACGGCUCACCUAGGCGACGAUCCCUAGCUGGUCUGAGAGGAUGACCAGCCACACUGGAACUGAGACACGGUCCAGACUCCUACGGGAGGCAGCAGUGGGGAAUAUUGCACAAUGGGCGCAAGCCUGAUGCAGCCAUGCCGCGUGUAUGAAGAAGGCCUUCGGGUUGUAAAGUACUUUCAGCGGGGAGGAAGGGAGUAAAGUUAAUACCUUUGCUCAUUGACGUUACCCGCAGAAGAAGCACCGGCUAACUCCGUGCCAGCAGCCGCGGUAAUACGGAGGGUGCAAGCGUUAAUCGGAAUUACUGGGCGUAAAGCGCACGCAGGCGGUUUGUUAAGUCAGAUGUGAAAUCCCCGGGCUCAACCUGGGAACUGCAUCUGAUACUGGCAAGCUUGAGUCUCGUAGAGGGGGGUAGAAUUCCAGGUGUAGCGGUGAAAUGCGUAGAGAUCUGGAGGAAUACCGGUGGCGAAGGCGGCCCCCUGGACGAA